AGAGUUUGAUCAUGGCUCAGAGCGAACGCUGGCGGCGCGCUUAACACAUGCAAGUCGCACGAGAAAGGGGCAACCUGAGUAAAGUGGCGUACGGGUGAGUAACACGUGGAUCAUCUACCUUUUAGUGGGGAAUACCCCCGGGAAACUGGGGACAAUACCGCAUAAGCUCGUAAGAGGAAAGCAGCAAUGCGCUGAAAGAG
rnacentral:rRNA from 1 species